rnacentral:rRNA from 1 species
UUGUUCGGAAUUACUGGGCGUAAAGGGUGUGUAGGCGGUUAAGUAAGAUAGUGGUGAAAUGCCGGGGCUCAACCUCGGAAUUGCCAUUAUGACUAUUUAGCUAGAAUGAUGCAGAGGAUAGCGGAAUACCCAGUGUAGAGGUGAAAUUCGUAGAUAUUGGGUAGAACACCAGAGGCGAAGGCGGCUAUCUGGGCAUUGAUUGACGCUGAGGCACGAAAGCAUGGGGAUCAAACAGGAUUAGAUACCCUGGUAGUCCAUGCUGUAAACGAUGAAUGCUAGUUGUUGGAGGAAUUCAGUGACGAAGUUAACACAAUAAGCAUUCCGCCUGGGGAGUACGGUCGCAA